CUGCAGUCCAGCGCAGGAAGUUAUCUGAUCCUCUUUUAGAGGUGACGAUAAUGGAAUGAGCGGCGGACGGGUGAGUAACACGUACGCAACCUGCCUGUAAGACUGGGAUAACUCGUGGAAACGCGAGCUAAUACCGGAUAACACUUUUCAUCUCCUGAUGAUAAGUUGAAAGGCGGCUUUUGCUGUCACUUACAGAUGGGCCUGCGGCGCAUUAUCUAGUUGGUAAGGUAAUGGCUUACCAAGGCGACGAUGCGUAACCUACCUGAGAGGGUGAUCGGCCACACUGGGACUGACACACGGCCCAGACUCCUACGGGAGGCAGCAGUAGGGAAUCUUCCGCAAUGGACGAAAGUCUGACGGAACAACGCCGCGUGAGUGAUGAAGGUUUUCGGAUCGUAAAACUCUGUUGUUAGGGAAGAACAAGUGCCAUAGUAACUGAUGGCACCUUGACGGUACCUAACCAGAAAGGCACGGCUGACUACGUGCCAGCAGCCGCGGUAAUACGGAGGUGGCAAGCGUUGUCCGGAAUUAUUGGGCGUAAAGCGCUCACAAGCGGGUCAUUUAAUCUGAUGUGAAAUCCUACCGCUCAACCGUCAACGUGCAUUGGAAACUGGAGAACUUGAGUGCACAAGAGGAGAGUGGAAAUCUCGUGUAGCUGUGAAAUGCGUAUAGAAGUGGACGAACCUCAGUGGCGAAUGAGACUCUCUGGUUUGUAAGUGACUCUGAGGAUGAAG
rnacentral:rRNA from 1 species